GAUGAAGAACGUAGCGAAAUGCGAUAAGUAAUGCGAAUUGCAGAAUUUCCGUGAGUCAUCGAAUCUUUGAACGCACAUUGCGCCCACUGGUAUUCCGGUGGGCAUGCCUGUUCGAGCGUCAUUAUCCUCCCUCAAACCCCGGGUUUGGUGUUGGACCCAAGUUGUGUGAACAACUGGUCUCAAAGACAAUGACGGCGUCCGUGGGACCCUCGGUGCAACGAGCUUUUAGGAGCACGCAUCGAGUUACAAGGACCUUCCGGGCCGGUCUCCUUUACCAUUUUACAAGGUUGACCUCGGAUCAGGUAGGAAUACCCGCUGAACUUAAGCAUAUCAAUAAGCGGAGGA
rnacentral:misc_RNA from 1 species